rnacentral:tRNA from 2 species
GGGAGCAUAGCUCAGCUGGGAGAGCACCUGCCUUACAAGCAGGGGGUCACAGGUUCGAUCCCUGUUGCUCCCACCA